AACACGGUGACCGCCCCACUUGCCCCACCUAGUCCACCAGCUCCACCUGCUCAGUGAAAGGUUUUCAAGAAGCACCAAGCACCAGCACCAAGAGACGCAGUGGCAAGCCUUCACCACAACACUCCACACUGCCUAAUCUUCGUCUAUUAAAGGCUCAGACGUGUGGAUGGAAGGAGGAGGAGGAAGAAGAAGGAGUAACAAUGGAGAAGGAUGA